CCCCAGGUUUAACUGCCGGCCACAGCCCAGCCUCGCCGAAGUUCGCCACUCAUCGCCAGCCCAUCACCGUUGACAUCCUGUCUGCCUGCAUCCAGACGCUGAGAUCAGGUUACGUUUCCAUCUCAGUCUUGCUACGUUGGGAUUGAUGUUUCUUUCUAUUCCUGUGACGUUGCCGAGUUCACUUCCUCAUCGUCUACCUACAUGCCUUCUGAUCAUCUCCGCUGUCCGACAUCACCGUCUUCGACAAGGAUACUGUUGAUAAUUGAGAUGUGCAGGAGAGUGAGCCGGUCAAGGAUAGAUUCGGACAAAGCGGUAGAUUGUAUGACAAGCGACAGUUUAUUCAGAGUAAAGAUAUCUGGUACAGCGUGCACGGGCUCUUUCUAGUAACUCCGAGUGAGCUAGAAGAGAGAGAGCUCUAAUACAGUUUGUUUACAUGUUUUAUACAGCACAGAAAGUAGGUUGAGUCUUGAAGUCCUGGUUCUCUGGUUGGAUCAGGUCCAGGCGUAGCCUCUGCUGAUUGGCUCCUGCAGCCCAUGCUUCAGCCGUUGUUUUAUGUCCUUGUUGUUUUCCUGAGUCCAGGGUGUGUGUGUGUGUGUGUGUCCUAGAUAAGGUUAUCUUAUGCAGCUUAUGUGUGCAAUGAGUCUAUGUGUCUUAAUGUAUGUUCCUGUUUUCACAGGGUCAGGCUUUGGCCGAUACUGCUGAUUUAAGGCUUUGUGGUCGAGCCAGUUCCUGUCUAUGUGCUGUUAUUGAGACAUCAGCACAUUCGUUAAACAGAUCAGUUUGGCAGAACCUCACCAGUCUACCUGUUGCGACUGCCAUGUCUCCACAGUCCUUACCAACCAUUCACCAAAUUCUGGACACGGCAUCCCAGACUAUACCGUACAACUCCUCGGACGCUGAUCCUCUCAAGUCUGUCAUUUCUACAUCCACUCUGUCAUCAAAAACAUCAGGACAGCCCACAACAUGCUCAUCUAUCAGAACCUUCCAGUCUCUGCCUCAUUUCACACACACCAUCUACCUCACGCACCGAAUCUUACCCAACCAGUCAAAAAGAGGAUUGGCUCCCCAGCUGAGUCUGGUUCCUCUCAAGGUUUUGUCGUGAUAAUUAUUCAAACCAAAGGAGAGACUUUCAGACAGACCAGCAGUUCACACUGCUGAAAUGUUGUCAUCGUAAAUGGACGGUCAGCGUUAAACCUCAGAGGCUCCUCUCAGAAAAAAACGACAUUGUGAAUGUACUAAUAUAGGAACACAUUCUAAUAUAAAAGUCAUGUGAUUAACAUAAUGUUGUAAUUCUACCACAGUUUUCUUCUUUCAAGGGAGUUUUUUCCUUGCCGACCGUCACUUCUGCUUGUUCUCCUGGGGUCUAAGACUGAGUCCCUCUGUGGGCAUCUCAUCCAUAUGUCUGUACAGAUGUAGGAUCUUCAUUUGAGCCUGUUUGUUAAAGGAGGAAAAUAAUCCUGCAGCAACCGUAAAUGUGAAUUUUUAUAUGAAUUAUAAUGAAUGUAUAUUUUUAUGUUUGGGGUUGAUACAUUUUACGUUAGGGCAAAUUAGGUCUGAAAUAUUACUAGUGUUACUAAUAUACUAAUAUUACUAAUAUUACUAUUAUUAGUGGAAAUUACAAACGUUAGAAGCCUUUUAAAACAUUGAAUACACUACACGUUUGCAUGUCCUUCUGUGCAAGAACAUACAAUUAAGAUCUUACAUCUGUACUACCUAAACUAUUUUGCCAACCAUUCAGCACCUGGAGUCCAGAACAGCUCACUUCCUCUCCAGGGUCUGACUAUCUUGAAGUUCUCUUUUUGGGGAUUACCAUCACAACAGUAGCCUAACUACUAUAGCCUGGCGAUGAUGUCUACCUAAGACUCUAAGCCAAACUCUACAGAGUCCACCCCCUGGAUCCUUCGUCUGCAGCCUUCAGCUUCAUUCGGUCCAUUCUCAUUCCCCUUUGGAAUCCUCAUUCCCCUUUGGAAUCCUCAUUCCCCUUUGGAAUUCUCAUUCCCCUUUGGAAUUCUCAUUCCCCUUUGGAAACCUCAUUCCCCUUUGGAAACCUCAUUCCCCUUUGGAAUCCUCAUUCCCCUUUGGAAUCCUCAUUCCCCUUUGGAAUCCUCAUUCCCCUUUGGAAUCCUCAUAAAUAUUCUAAACCCAUUUCAAAUGUCUGGUCCUUCAAUUUGUGAAAUUGUAGUGACGUUAAUGUUACAGAUGGAAAAUAUUUGCCAAUGUAGGUAACGUAGCAGUAGCUAACACUUUAUUGCUUAUUGUGUAAGAUUAGUUAGUGGAGGAUAAAAGACCUGAAUGCUAUGGAUGUGUAGCUAUGUAGCCGAUCUGUGUAAAGACCCUAAAACAUUUGGUAUAAUAAUAGUUGUGGAAUGAAAAUCCUAUGGAAUGAACUAUGGAAUGAAAGUCCUAUGGAAUGAACUAUGGAACGAACUAUGCUUCAAUACAUCUCCACGUUGAACAACAGCUAGUGGAUGGGUACAAAUAUGGAGCCCUUUAAAUGUUACAACAUUUGAGAGACGAUGCGGUACGGUGGCCAAUUUGGCCUCUGGAGCCUCGAGCAUUAAAUUACUCUUAGUUGACAGUAGGUGCGCGCCUCCUGUGUAAACACUGCUAAUGGACAUUUGCCAGAAUUGCCCUACUGCCCAUCCGUCCCUGACACUUCCAUAAAACAAAUUGUGUUGUUUUUACAUUAACUUACUGGCAGUCACUUACCUAUAAUUUACUGUUAAAAAGGGUAAAGUAUGCUAUCGUAAAUUGCAAAGAAACGUUUGUUUAACAGUACAUUACUUUAAUGAACUGUUAAACCAAGGUUUCUUUCUGAUCUUAUGUCCAACACUCCACCAUCCUGCACUGUAAAACAAAUCCAGUUGUUUUUACAGUAACUUACAGGCAGUCAGUUGCCAGAAAGUUACUGUAAAAAGGUAGAGAAUGUUAAUGUUGCACUUCUGUACUGUCACGCCCUGGCCUUAGUAUUCUGUGUUUUCUUUAUUAUGUUGGUUAGGCCAGGGUGUGACAUGGGUGAUUAUGUGUUUGUCUUGUCUAGGGGUUUUGUAGAUUGAUGGGGUUGUGUUCAGUGUAGCAUUCUAGGUAAGUCUAUGCCUUGCCUAGAGUGGUUCUCAAUCAGAGGCAGGUGUUUAUUGUUGUCUCUGAUUGGGAACCAUAUUUAGGCAGCCAUAUUCUUUGGGCAUUUUGUGGGUGAUUGUUUCCUGUCUCUGUGUUUUGCACCAGUGUUUUGGUUUUUCCACGUUUUUAAUAUGUAUAUUGUUCACGUUAUCAUCUUUAUUAAAGAUGUUCAACCAUAA